rnacentral:rRNA from 1 species
GAGCCUGGCUCAGGACGAACGCUGGCGGCGCGCCUAACACAUGCAAGUCGAACGAGCGAGAGAGAGCUUGCUUUCUCGAGCGAGUGGCGAACGGGUGAGUAACGCGUGAGGAACCUGCCUCAAAGAGGGGGACAACAGUUGGAAACGACUGCUAAUACCGCAUAAGCCCACGGCUCGGCAUCGAGCAGAGGGAAAAGGAGCAAUCCGCUUUGAGAUGGCCUCGCGUCCGAUUAG